AAAUGGAAUAAAUAUAUACACAUAUCCAUAUGUAUAUAUACACAUAUGUAUGUAUAUACGCGUGUGUGUGUGUCUCGAUAGUUACAGGCACAUUUUACACACACAAACCCACACUCUCACAUAUAUCCUGGUAGUUACAGUCACGUUAGGAACUUCAUAGGAAAGCACAAAGAGACUGCCGAGAUUACAACUACCAGCCACCUUAUCCGCAGUUGGAGAGUUUAUGUGCGUGUUUUAAGUGUUUCGCCCAGCUCUUCCUUACCCGGUUACAAACAGCACACACACGGGAGAGAGAACUAAUCAGCUCUUAAACUGAAAAACCUUUCGACGCAGGCGAGUGAUGGAAGAUAAAAUCUGAGGGGCGACAUGAGGGUCAAAUAAAAGUUGCUUUUCAGUUCGCUCCUCCAAGCCCCGCAGCGACCGCAGGGGGGUGAGAUUCCCAAAGCCACUUUCACACCUUCAAUAAUGCACUAGCAAAGAGAAGCCCGGAGAGGCUGAAGUUUCCACGGAGGACACCAUCAGGGAGACGCAGCCCGGGAGGACAGGAGGAUUGGGCUCGCUACCUCUGCACACCGGCGAGCCGGGGCUCCGUCUCUCAGGAGAUUAGUCAGCCAGCUAGUGCUUCUGUAGUAUAUGGGUCAGUGAUUCGUGAAGCCUGAACCAGCAGCAUUGGAAUCAACAGCAGCAGCAUCUGGGAACUUGCUAGAAAUUCAUAUCCUCCAGCCCCAAAACAGGACCCACUGAAGGAGAAAUGCAGGGGGAAAGGGUUGGGCCCAGCAGUCUGUUUUAAAAAGCCAUCCAGGUGACUGUGAUGCCUAAUCAAAUUGGAGAACCACUUGUUUGGAUUAUUCUUUUCUAGAAACAAAAAGAGAAGAACUGACCUUAUGCAAAGAACAGAGUAAUCCUAGAAUAUGCACAUUCCUCAGCUACAUUACAAGAAGAAAAAGGGCUAAGCAAGAAAAGCAAUAGGGAGGACAAAGGAAAGAACCAUGUGGAGAAGGAGAAACUGGAAAACCCCAGAAGUUCCAUUUCAAGCUACAGCUCAGCUAUAGCUUGACCUCCAGUCAAGACAUGCCUAUGACAACUCUCCCUGACUGAUAAGUGAGGGAGAUAACUCUUCCAGGUGACAUGGACACAGAAAUGAAGAUGAUUGUUAGGUCAGACAGACAAGUAGUGAUAACCACCUAUCAAUCAGCAGGGGUCUCCUGACCAAUCCUGGAAGGGCACAGUUCUCAGCAAGAUCCCCAGACCAGCCCUAGGAGGACAGGGGACUCUAAAAACCUCCCUUUCCUGUCCCAAGCCCUCCCUUCCAGCCCUAAACCCAAUAAAAUUCCAAAUCCAGCUGAGUCUGGGCUCGAUUCCCUCCACCUGCUCUGUUAGAAUGGGUCUCACCCAGGAGUGAAUCUCAAUAAAGCCUUGUUCAGCAGCUUA